UGGAGCCAAACCCUCAUUUUUUCGAACACUGAAAGGGAAUUGAAGUGUUCACUAAGGUGGCUAGAUCAGAAUGAAGAAGAGUUUAUCUACAGGUGAUAAGCACCUAAAGAAAGACAAGCUGAGUCACCUCAAGGGAGGUGAUUCUCUUCCGGUACUCUGUUCUUGUGAAACCCCAUCUGGAAUACUGCAUUCUGUUCUGGAGUACUCAGCACAGGAAAGACAUGGAUCUAUUAGAGCAAGUCCAGAGGAGAGCCGUGAAGAUUACACAGAAGGCUGGGACACCUGACAUACAAGGCUUCAUCUACAAAGCUUUUCUGGUGAGUGAAGAGGAGAGAAAAAGCAUCUACUAUGCCUGUUUCUUUCUUGCUUGUAUUCAAGAAAUGUACAGUCCGUUCUCCAAACCUGAUGAUUUGGGGCAACUCUUAUUUGUCGAUGCAAUGAAAGCUGCAGGAUCCUGGAGGACUGGUUACUCAGAGGAUGCAUAUCAAGGCAACUGAAACCACUUCAGUUUUGGCCACAAAUACCAUUCUCAUUGCUGUCUGGGACAGGAUUUGACAGCUUACAUCAGGAAUGGGCGUGAAGUUGCCCAGAUGUAUCUGCUGAAGGAACCGUUUUCCUGGCGAUGACAGAAGUCUGGCAAGAUGCCUGAUAAAAAAAUUGAGGGAGGGUUUUUUCCCCUCUUUCAAAACAAAAAAUGGGGAGAAGAGAAACCUGUAUGGAAGAACCACACAUCUAUGAGAAUUCUCCACUUUUUUUCUUUCCCUAUUUUUUCUUCUUCUCAGAUAGAAACACUGAGAUCUUCAGGAAAGAUGGGAAAUCUUAACACUGCCAUCCCCAGAGCCUCAUCUAUCAAUCAGGUCUUUCCUUUGGCUUGAGAACAUUCAGUCUCUCUCCCUCUCUUCCUCAAUUCAUUGUAUCUUGUACAGGAACUCAAGACCAUGUUUAAUAUGUUUGGGUUUUACAUUGACAACAUAAAGGUCAACAUUUAAGUUAGGUUACGUAAUCAGAUCAGUCCCCUGUGACUAACCACAGAGCAAAAUAAUCCCCAUUUAAGUGUCCUGUUCUUUCACAUCCAUCCUUCUGAACAGUAAUGUCCUAUUAUUUCUUCCUUCCCUCUGCCCUGGAAUUAUUUCAGGGCUGAUCUCAGGUUUAUAUGAAGCUGGGAUCAAAUUUUCUAAACACUUAAGCAACACUUCCCUCAUAAAAAGCUGACUUUUUUUUAAAUGCUAUUGCAAAGCAAAAGGAUGAUGCAGAAGGUUUCUCAGCAGGGGUUAGGUAUACUGACAUAGUUUGCACAUCUAUGUAGCAAAUAUUCCCCUGUGAGUAUUGAAAUCUAUGGGAGCCAUGAGGACCAAACUUGACCACCAUCCCUGGUGUUGUAAGAAAGAGAAAGGAAUAAAUGUAAUUGUAGGGUCUAGCUUCACACUCAGUUAGAAACAUUUCUGAUUUUGGAAAUGUCAAACUCAUAGUUGGUGGAUGAGAAGAUCAACAGGAAAGCCAACCAUAUCCUGGGCUGAAUUAAAAGAAGUAUGGCCAGCAGAUUGAGGGAGGGGAUUCUGCCCAUCUACUCUGCUCUGGUGAGACCACACCUGGAGUCCUGCAUUCAGUUCUGGAGUCCUCAGCACAAGAAGGACAUGGAUCUGUUCGAGCAGUCUGGAGAAGGCCAUGAAGAUGAUCAUAGGGCUGGAGCACCUCCUGUAUGAGGACAGACUGAGAGAUCUGGGCUUGUUCAGCCUGGAGAAGAGAAGGCUCCAGGGAGACCUUAGAGCAGCUUCCAGUACUUAAAGGAAGCUCACAGGAAAGUUGGAGAGGGUCUCUUUAUUAUGGAGUUCAGGAACAGGAUGAGGGGGAAUGGUUUUAAGCUGAAAGAGGGGAGAUUUAGAUUAAAUAUUUGGAAGAAAUAUUUUACUGUGGGGGUGAUGAGGCACCGGCACAGGCUGCUCAGAGAAGUCAUGGAUGACUCCUCUCUAGAAGUGUCCAAAGCCAAGUUUGAUGAGGCUUUAAGCAACCUGAUCCAGUAGAAGUUGCCCCUGCCUGUGGCAGGGGGGUUGGAACUAGGUGGUCCCUUCCAAACCGAACUGGAAAAUGUUUUUUGAGAGAAGUCACAAUAGGACAUCAUUGCAGUUACAAGAAACUACUUUCUUUCGUAUGCAUGAAGUAUAAAACCACGGCAAACUGUCUGAAGGUAAUGUUGGAGUUUUACCCCAAAUUUUUGCAAUAAGUCCUCGUUUUAGAGUUAAGCUAUUGCACACUUGCAGGAAAGACUUCGAACAGCAAGGGAAAUGUUGCUAUUGACUAUAUAAACAUAUCGUGCGGUAUUGUACCCUCAGUGAGUACCUGAAAGAGAUGAGCUGUCUGCUUUCCUUAUUUUUUACAUAUUUUCCCUGAAAUGGUUUAUUGCAUUCCACUGUUGGAAGAAGGACAGUGGACUAUUAAGGAUAAUUUUUCCCAUUCUUAUGUUCUUAAGCACUUUGAUGAAUUAGGACAUGGUCUUGUGAACAGAGGAGGUGAUUGGAAAGCUCGAGAAUUGGGAUUUAUGCCCUGAAUGGCACAAACAAAGUCAGUUCCAUGAUCUACCCAAAUCUCCUAAUUUUUGACAGGUAGAAAGUGUAGAAACAUUCCCUUAGUUUAGGGAAUCACAUAUGUAAAGAGAUGCAGGUCUGAAAUUCAGCACAUUGUAGCUGAUGGCAUCUUCAUGUGAAAGUCUGUGAGCAGCUGUUCAAGACUGUACGAUACUGGAUUUUAUUAAUGUAUACAAAGCAUAUAAAAAAGGUUACUGCAUUUUAUCAACUGCUUCUUGGAUGAAAUUUAAAUGAGAAGAUGUGAGACUUGUUGAAGAAUCUGUGGACAGGGUGUGCCCCCUUCAGCUGCAAGGCAUGUAACACUGGGUUUCAUCCGUUAUUCCCUGCUGUACAGCAUGCUGAUUUAUCAUAAGCAGUGGGGAGAGAAACAUUUGUUGACUAACUAUAAACUUAACAAAAAGUGAUGCAUUCAGCAGCCCAUUACUGUAAUGCUGUAACAGGACUGGAGGAUAUAGAGAAGGAUUAAGCAUUCUGAAAGAGAAACAUAAAACAAUAUG